rnacentral:rRNA from 1 species
CGCCCUAAACGAUGUCUACUAGUUGUCGGGUCUUAAUUGACUUGGUAACGCAGCUAACGCGUGAAGUAGACCGCCUGGGGAGUACGGUCGCAAGAUUAAAACUCAAAGGAAUUGACGGGGACCCGCACAAGCGGUGGAUGAUGUGGAUUAAUUCGAUGCAACGCGAAAAACCUUACCUACCCUUGACAUGGCUGGAAUCCCCGAGAGAUUGGGGAGUGCCCGAAAGGGAACCAGUACACAGGUGCUGCAUGGCUGUCGUCAGCUCGUGUCGUGAGAUGUUGGGUUAAGUCCCGCAACGAGCGCAACCCUUGUCAUUAGUUGCUACGAAAGGGCACUCUAAUGAGACUGCCGGUGACAAACCGGAGGAAGGUGGGGAUGACGUCAAGUCCUCAUGGCCCUUAUGGGUAGGGCUUCACACGUCAUACAAUGGUACAUACAGAGCGCCGCCAACCCGCGAGGGGGAGCUAAUCGCAGAAAGUGUAUCGUAGUCCGGAUUGUAGUCUGCAACUCGACUGCAUGAAGUUGGAAUCGCUAGUAAUCGCGGAUCAGCAUGUCGCGGUGAAUACGUUCCCGGGUCUUGUACACACCGCCCGUCACACCAUGGGAGCGGGUUUUACCAGAAGUAGGUAGCUUAACCGCAAG